UUCUGCAAAUCAAGUUUUAUUGUAAACUAUUACAAAUAUAAAGUAUAAAUUUCUCGACUCGUAGAACCUUUUAAUUUCAAGUGUAGUCAUGAAAAGGUUAUAAAGGCAUUUUUUUAAGAUGAACGUAUAAUACACAUUAUAUAAUGCAUUUCACCAGGUUUCAAAAAUAAAUAAAAAAAAUAUCUUAUAGAUUUAUUUUUGUUU